CCUACGGGUGGCAGCAGUGGGGAAUAUUGCACAAUGGGGGGAACCCUGAUGCAGCGACGCCGCGUGAGUGAAGAAGUAUUUCGGUAUGUACAGCUCUAUCAGCAGGGAAGAAAAUGACGGUACCUGACUAAGAAGCCCCGGCUAACUACGUGCCAGCAGCCGCGGUCAUACGUAGGGGGCAAGCGUUAUCCGGAUUUACUGGGUGUAAAGGGAGCGUAGAAGGUUAUGAAAGUCUGAAGUGAAAGCACAAGGCUAAACCAUGGGAAUGCUUUGGAAACUGUAAAAGUGGAGUGCGGUGGAGGUAAGCGGAAUUCCGAGUGUAGCGGUGAAAUGGGUAGAUAUUAGGAGGAAAACCAGUGGCGAAGGCGGCUUACUGGACUGUAACUGACGUUGAGGCUCGAAGGCGUGGGGAGCAAACAGGAUUAGAUACCCCGUAGUC
rnacentral:rRNA from 1 species